GAUCUUGAAUGACUACAUUCAUGAAGGAGAAAAGAUUCUUUUCAGGGGAGAGGAGUGGUGUUAUUAAGAACAUCCUAUUAUAUCAAGAUGACUUCAUUUUCUAAAUGACCAUGGAAGACCUUUAUAGACAUAGCGAUGGUGCAGCCACGAUGUUGCAUUCCAUCAAUUUCAAAUGAUCCCAGUAUUUUGACAUUAAAUAUGAAUUACAUCAUCACCCUGCCUUAGAAAAUGGUGAAGGUACAUGCCUGAGGAUCGAUCCCUCUUUCCACUGGGACAGGGUUUCCCUCAGAAUUUAAAGAUUCCUUCUGAGAGGAUGAAGGAAGCUUAGGAGAGACAGGAAGUAAGCAAUAGAUUGUCGGGAAAGCAGAACCUUGAAAUAUUCUCCAAGGUCCUUACCAGCUUUAUAGAAAGAGGAGAAGGGUUGGGUUCCUAGCAUCCCACAGCAGAUAACUCCUUAUGUAACUCCUGCUGCAGCAAAGUUGAAGCCCUCUUUCGUCCUUAUUGAUCGAUGCACAGAGAUGGUGCUUAGGUAAAAUACUUAAGUACAUAGAAAAAUAAAGUAACAAAAUAAAACAA